GUUCACUUUGUGCUUAACCCAUGUCGUAAAUGUGUUUUUGUAUGAGAGUUUAUCCUUAUUAUUUUCCUCUCUCUCUCUCUCUGGGAUGGGGGGGCUGACGCUGCGCACCGUGACGUCACCCUUUCCGUCCGACGCUGCAGCGAGCGCGAGCGCGAAUGUUCUGGAACGUUGAUGUCGGAGAGGCGCGAGGAGGAGGAGAAGCGCCAUUUUGGAGAAUCUGAGAUGUACACAGGCAGCUUACGCUCUUCUGUGUCAGCCACGACACAAGGAUACGUUUUAUACAUGUAUUUACACUUUGAUUUGAAAGGAAACAUUGCAUCCGUGUAUAUAUAUAUAUAUAUAUAUAUAUAUAUAUAUACAAACCCGAUUUCAAAAAAGUUGGGACACUACAAAUUGUGAGUAAAAAAGGAAUGGAAUAAUUCACAAAUCUUAUAAACUUAUAUUUUAUUCACAAUAGAAUAUAGAUAACAUAUCAAAUGUUGAAAGUGAGACAUUUUGAAAUGUCAUGCCAAAUAUUGGCUCAUUUUGGAUUUCAUGAGCGCUACACAUUCCAAAAAAGUUGGGACAGGUAGCAAUAAGAGGCCGGAAAAGUUAAAUGUACAUAUAAGGAACAGCUGGAGGACCAAUUUGCAACUUCUUAGGUCAAUUGGCAACAUGAUUGUGUAUAAAAAGAGCCUCUCAGAGUGACAGUGUCUCUCAGAAGUCAAGAUGGGCAGAGGAUCACCAAUUCCCCCAAUGCUGCGGCGAAAAAUAGUGGAGCAAUAUCAGAAAGGAGUUUCUCAGAGAAAAAUUGCAAAGAGUUUGAAGUUAUCAUCAUCUACAGUGCAUAAUAUCAUCCAAAGAUUCAGAGAAUCUGGAACAAUCUCUGUGCGUAAGGGUCAAGGCCAGAAAACCAUACUGGAUGCCCGUGAUCUUCUGGCCCUUAGACGGCACUGCAUCACAUACAGGAAUGCUACUGUAAUGGAAAUCACAACAUGGGCUCAGGAAUACUUCCAGAAAACAUCGUCGGUGAACACAAUCCACCGUGCCAUUCGCCAUUGCCAGCUAAAACUCUAUAGGUCAAAAAAGAAGCCAUAUCUAAACAUGAUCCAGAAGUGCAGGUGUUUUCUCUGGGCCAAGGCUCAUUUAAAAUGGACUGUGGCAAAGUGAAAAACUGUUCUGUGGUCAGACAAAUCGAGUUCUUUUUGGAAAACUGGGACGCCAUGUCAUCCGGACUAAAGAGGACAAGGACAACCCAAGUUGUUAGGUAUGGGGUUGCAUGAGUGUGUGUGGCAUGGGCAGCUUACACAUCUGGAAAGGCACCAUCAAUGCUGAAAGGUAUAUCCAAGUUCUAGAACAACAUAUGCUCCCAUCCAGACGUCGUCUCUUUCAGGGAAGACCUUGAAUUUUCCAACAUGACAAUGCCAGACCACAUACUGCAUCAAUUACAACAUCAUGGCUGUGUAGAAGAAGGAUCCGGGUACUGAAAUGGCCAGCCUGCAGUCCAGAUCUUUCACCCAUAGAAAACAUUUGGCGCAUCAUAAAGAGGAAGAUGCGACAAAGAAGACCUAAGACAGUUGAGCAACUAGAAGCCUGUAUUAGACAAGAAUGGGACAACAUUCCUAUUCCUAAACUUGAGCAACUUGUCUCCUCAGUCCCCAGACGUUUGCAGACUGUUAUAAAAAGAAGAGGGGAUGCCACACAGUGGUAAACAUGGCCUUGUCCCAACUUUUUUGAGACGUGUUGAUGCCAUGAAAUUUAAAAUCAACUUAUUUUUCCCUUAAAAUUAUACAUUUUCUCAGUUUAAACAUUUGAUAUGUCAUCUAUGUUGUAUUCUGAAUAAAAGAUCGAAAUUUGAAACUUCCACAUCAUUGCAUUCUGUUUUUAUUCACAAUUUGUACAGUGUCCCAACUUUUUUGGAAUCGGGUUUGUAUAUAUAUAUAUAAAACUGCUGUCUAGAUUUUGUUCAGCCAACUACUAUAAAUGCCAUGGUAUAUGAUUAUGGUAAUCAUGUACUAUGGGUUUUGUAAGGAAAGACUGUGUGAAUGGUGAGGUUCUGUAUGGAAAACCACACGUGGAACAGCCUCAGAAAUGCUCGCUCUUUUGAUGUGGCUUGUUUAUACAUCCUGCAUCUGCCACUGUCAGUGAGGUUAUGCUGUAUGGAUGGCAAAAAAAAAAAGAAAAUUGUUUUUUAAAGCAUUGUUUAUAACAAAUAAACACAAAGUAAUUGAAGACUACACUGUAUGUGCUUAAGUUGUGUAUUUUAUAACAUUGCAAAAGUGUAUUUAGGAUGGAGUCUUUCGUCGUGACCAUGUUUAGCUGCACAAGAAUAUUCCUAAAUGAAUUAGAAUUUGGUCAUAUUAUGAUGCAUAUGCCACAACCCCAAUAUUCCAAGUCAUCUGGCAUAUUCCUUUCUAUCUAUCUAUUAAUGAAAAUAAAUAAACAUAAAUCAAUAAACAUAUGGGUUAAAGCAUCAUAAUAGUCUCACUGCCUACGGUUUGCUAUUUGUUGCUGUGUGCUACUGUCAGUGACAAGAAUUGAAUUGAAUUGUGAAUUGAGGUGAAAUACAUAAUUACUAAAAAAAUGAAUAAUGAAAUCAUCUCCAGUAUUUUCAGUACUGUUGCAGGAACGGGUUCGACUUUGUUCACUCAGAACAUGCUGAUUAUUGUGUGUUCAGAAAUGUUCCAAUAGCUGUGGAGCAUUUAAAAAAAAAUUUUUUUUUAAAAUUUAAAUGGACAAUUAUUUGCAUGUAAACAUGGAUCUUGUUUUUAUCACAAAAAAAAAAAAAAAAGUAGAGGAAUAGUUCACCCAAGAAUGAACAUUUGUUGAAAAUGUACUCACCAUCAGGCCAUCUAAGAUGUAGAUGAGUUUGUUUCUUCAUCAGAUUUGGAGAAAUGUAGCAUUCCAUC
ensembl:lncRNA